rfam:Echinostoma caproni strain Egypt genome assembly, scaffold: ECPE_scaffold0019195
GCACUGCUGAUGAGUCCCAAGCAGGACGAAACAGCUGUCUAGUGC